UACGUAGGAGGCAAGCGUUGUCCGGAAUCACUGGGCGUAAAGCGCGUGUAGGUGGUACGUCAAGUCUGCUGUGAAAGCGCCUGGCUUAACCGGGCGAGGUCGGCGGAAACUGGCGCACUUGAGGACGGUAGAGGGGGGUGGAAUUCCCGGUGUAGUGGUGAAAUGCGUAGAGAUCGGGAGGAACACCUGUGGCGAAGGCGGCCCCCUGGGCCGGCCCUGACACUGAGACGCGAAGGCGUGGGGAGCGAACGGG
rnacentral:rRNA from 1 species